AGAGUUUGAUCAUGGCUCAGAACGAACGCUGGCGGCGUGGAUAAGACAUGCAAGUCGAGCGAGAUUUUUUUCUGUAGCAAUACAGGGAAAAGUCUAGCGGCGAACGGGUGCGUAACACGUGGGCAACCUGCCAAGAAGUGGGGGAUAGCUCGCCGAAAGGCGAAUUAAUACCGCAUGUGAUCAGAGUGGACAUCCAUUCAAAAUCAAAGUCGGGGCAACCUGACGCUUCUUGAGGGGCCCGCGGCCUAUCAGCUAGUUGGUGAGGUAACGGCCCACCAAGGCUUAGACGGGUAGCUGGUCUGAGAGGACGACCAGCCACACUGGGACUGAGACACGGCCCAGACACCUACGGGUGGCAGCAGUCGAGAAUUUUUCUCAAUGGGGGAAACCCUGAAGGAGCGACGCCGCGUGGAGGAUGAAGGUCUUCGGGUUGUAAACUCCUGUCAUUUGGGAACAAUGCGCAAAUAUUAACUGUAUUUGCGUUGAUAGUACCAGAAGAGGAAGGGACGGCUAACUCCGUGCCAGCAGCCGCGGUAAUACAGAGGUCCCAAGCGUUGUUCGGAUUCAUUGGGCGUAAAGGGUGCGUAGGCGGCGCGGUAAGUCGGGUGUGAAAUCUCGGGGCUUAACUCCGAAACUGCAUUCGAUACCGCCGUGCUUGAGGACUGGAGAGGAGACUGGAAUUUACGGUGUAGCGGUGAAAUGCGUAGAUAUCGUAAGGAAGACCAGUGGCGAAGGCGGGUCUCUGGACAGUUCCUGACGCUGAGGCACGAAGGCCAGGGGAGCAAACGGGAUUAGAUACCCCGGUAGUCCUGGCAGUAAACGGUGCACGUUUGGUGUGGGAGGAUUCGACCCCUUCUGCGCCGGAGCUAACGCGUUAAACGUGCCGCCUGGGGAGUACGGUCGCAAGAUUAAAACUCAAAGAAAUUGACGGGGG
rnacentral:rRNA from 1 species